rnacentral:rRNA from 1 species
GAACGCUGGCGGCAGGCCUAACACAUGCCAAGUCGAGCGGUAGGAGAGAAGCUUGCUUCUCUUGAGAGCGGCGGACGGGUGAGUAAUACCUAGGAAUCUGCCUGAUAGUGGGGGAUAACGUUCGGAAACGGACGCUAAUACCGCAUACGUCCUACGGGAGAAAGCAGGGGACCUUCGGGCCUUGCGCUAUCAGAUGAGCCUAGGUCGGAUUAGCUAGUUGGUGAGGUAAUGGCUCACCAAGGCUACGAUCCGUAACUGGUCUGAGAGGAUGAUCAGUCACACUGGAACUGAGACACGGUCCAGACUCCUACGGGAGGCAGCAGUGGGGAAUAUUGGACAAUGGGCGAAAGCCUGAUCCAGCCAUGCCGCGUGUGUGAAGAAGGUCUUCGGAUUGUAAAGCACUUUAAGUUGGGAGGAAGGGCAGUAAAUUAAUACUUUGCUGUUUUGACGUUACCAACAGAAUAAGCACCGGCUAACUCUGUGCCAGCAGCCGCGGUAAUACAGAGGGUGCAAGCGUUAAUCGGAAUUACUGGGCGUAAAGCGCGCGUAGGUGGUUUGUUAAGUUGAAUGUGAAAUCCCCGGGCUCAACCUGGGAACUGCAUCCAAAACUGGCAAGCUAGAGUAUGGUAGAGGGUAGUGGAAUUUCCUGUGUAGCGGUGAAAUGCGUAGAUAUAGGAAGGAACACCAGUGGCGAAGGCGACUACCUGGACUGAUACUGACACUGAGGUGCGAAAGCGCGGGGAGCAAACAGGAUUAGAUACCCUGGUAGUCCACGCCGUAAACGAUGUCAACUAGCCGUUGGGAGUCUUGAACUCUUAGUGGCGCAGCUAACGCAUUAAGUUGACCGCCUGGGGAGUACGGCCGCAAGGUUAAAACUCAAAUGA